rnacentral:rRNA from 1 species
UACGAAGGGGGCUAGCGUUGCUCGGAUUUACUGGGCGUAAAGGGCGCGUAGGCGGACAGUUUAGUCAGGGGUGAAAGCCCACGGCUCAACCGUGGAAGUGCCUUUGAUACUGCCGGCCUGGAGGGAGGUAGGGGCGUGCGGAACUUCCGGUGGAGCGGUGAAAUGCGUAGAUAUCGGAAGGAACACCGGUGGCGAAAGCGGCGCGCUGGACCUCUUCUGACGCUGAGGCGCGAAAGCCAGGGGAGCAAACGGG